AGUGAACGCUGGCGGUAGGCCUAACACAUGCAAGUCGAACGGCAGCACAGUAAGAGCUUGCUCUUACGGGUGGCGAGUGGCGGACGGGUGAGGAAUACAUCGGAAUCUACUUUUUCGUGGGGGAUAACGUAGGGAAACUUACGCUAAUACCGCAUACGACCUACGGGUGAAAGCAGGGGAUCUUCGGACCUUGCGCGAUUGACUGAGCCGAUGUCGGAUUAGCUAGUUGGCGGGGUAAAGGCCCACCAAGGCGACGAUCCGUAGCUGGUCUGAGAGGAUGAUCAGCCACACUGGAACUGAGACACGGUCCAGACUCCUACGGGAGGCAGCAGUGGGGAAUAUUGGACAAUGGGCGCAAGCCUGAUCCAGCCAUACCGCGUGGGUGAAGAAGGCCUUCGGGUUGUAAAGCCCUUUUGUUGGGAAAGAAAAGCAGCAGGUUAAUACCCCGCUGUUCUGACGGUACCCAAAGAAUAAGCGCCGGCUAACUUCGUG
rnacentral:rRNA from 1 species